AAACAGUUAUAAGAAGUAACUUAGGAGAUGAACAAGUUUACUUUAGCUCUUCUUUUUCUCCCUACAAUUUACAAAACUCAGAUAAGUAAAUUAAGGGUGCACAAGAGGAGAGAAAAUGAGAUCUGAUAGAAAACUUCACCGUGAGACUUCAAGAAUAUCUGCAGAGAAACUCAUCAAAAGGAUAACUGAAAAUCCUGAAAGGUACUUUAAGUCAGGAGUUCAUGAGUUUUCAGUAUUCUGUGGGAGAAAGAAUCUACGGGAAUAGCAGUUCCUGUGCUCCACUUGAACCUGCGUCAAGAUAUUUAAAAGCAGGGAAUGCUGCUUUGAAGGAAAGCCACAGAAGUUGGCUUAUGUGCUGUGGAGACAGUGUGGCCCCCUUCCACUCCCAGAUUGUGGGAAGAAACCUCAAGUGGCCUGCAAGCUGGACGUGGCUGGUCAUCAUAUUUCCUGCAUCAUCAGUCAGAAAAUGGCAUGCAGCUGUAUUUUCACUGAACCACACUGUGCGGGGACACAAUUGGAGACACUGGCUACUUUAUCAAGGCUUAAAUUGGAAUGACAUGCUUUCAGAUAUAAACAGACUGCUUGAAGGAAUCAAAGUUGACUUAUAGAGCCAAUAAAAGCCCCUUGGGAGAACUGGACUUAUACCUUAUUUACACAGUCCCUGUACAGAGUUCCUGACCUGUGGUAAAUAAUUUUUGACGGGCCCAGGCUCAAGAGGAGAGAUAUUCAUCCAAUCAUAUAAGCAUCUGAAGGCACAGAUAAAUUUGCGGCUGGGCUCAAGGCUUUAAAAAGUCUAAUCUGAGAUUCCUUAUGGAGAAACCUCCAGAAAAGCCAAUUUUUAAAAAGUCUAUAUGGAUUAGUCCAUUCUUGCACUGCUAUAAAGAAAUACCUGAAACUGGAUAAUUUAUAAGAAAAGAGGUUUAAUUGGCUCAUUGUUUCACAGGCUGUACAGGAAGUAUGGCUGGAAGGCCUCUGGAAACUUUCAGUCAUGGCAGAAAGUGAAGGAGAAGCAGACACGUCUCACAUGGACAAAGAAGGCAGAACAGAGAGAGAAGGGGGAGGUGCUGCACACUUUUAAGCAACCAGAUCUCAUGAUAACUCACUCAUUAUCAUGAGAACAGCAAGGGAGAAGUCUGCCCACAUGAUCCAAUCACCUUGUACCAGGCCCCUACUCCAACACUAGGGAUUACAAUUUGACAUGAGAUUUGGGUGGGGACACAAAUCCAAACCAUAUCAUUCUUCCCCUGGCUCCUCCCAUAUCUCAUGUCCUUCUCACAUUGCAAAAUAUAAUCACCUCUUUUCAACAGUCCCCUGAAAUGUUAAUUCAUUUCAGCAUUAACUCAAAAGUUCAUAGUCAAAAGUCUCAUUUGAGAUGAGGAAAGUCCCUUCUGCCUAUGUAAAAUAAAAAACAAGUUAGUUAUGUCCAAGAUACAAUGAGGGUACAGGCAUUUCAUAAGUACACCUAUUCCCAAAGGGAGAAAUCAGCCAAGUUUUGGCAGCUCCACUCUUGUGGCUCUGCAAGAUAUAGCCUCCUUGGUUGAUUUCAUAGGUUGGAAUUGAGUGCCUGCAGCUUUUCCAUGUGCACAGUGCAAGCUGCCAGUGGAUCUACCAUUUUGAUGUCUAGAGGACAGUGGCCCUCUUCUCAUAGCUCCACCAGGCAGUGCUCCAGUUUGAGGACCCUGUAUGAGGGCCCUGCCACCACAUUUCCCCUCUGCACUGUCCUAGCAGAGGUUCUCCAUGAGGGCUUGCCCCUGCAGGCCCCUGCAGCAGACUUCUGCCUGGACAUCCAGGCAUUUCCAUACAUUCUCUGAGAUCUAGAUGGAGGCUCCCAAGCCUGAACUCUUGGCUUCUGUGCACCUGCAGACUUAACACCAUGUGGAAGCUGCCAAGGCUUAGGGCUUGCACCCUCUGGAGCAGUGGCCUGAGACCUAUCUGGGGCCCUUUUAGCUAUAGCAGGAGCUGGAGAAGAUAGGAUGCAGGGAGCAGUGUCUCAAGAUUGCACAAGGCAGCAGGGUCCUGGGCCUGGCCCAUGAAACCAUACCUCCCUCCUAGGCCUCCAGGCCUGUGAUGGGAGAGGCUGCCAUGAAGGUCUCUGAAACAUCUUCAAGGCAUUUUCUCCAUUGUUUUGGCUAUUAAUAUUUGGCUCCUCUUUAUUUAGGCAUAUUCCUCCCAUGAAAAUGAAUCUUUCUUUUCUACCACAUGGUCAGGCUGCAAAUUCCCUAAACUUUUAUGCUCUGCUUCCCCUUUGAAAAGUUUCAAUUUGAGAUAAUCUCUUUUCUCAUGCAUAUGACCAUAUGCUGUUAGAAGCAGCCAGGGCAGACCUUGAAUGCUUUGCUGCUUAGAUAUUUCUUUUGCCAGAUACCCUAAAUCCUCUCUCUCAAGUUCAAAGUUCCACAGAUCCCUAGAGCAGGGGCACAAUGCUACCAGUCUCUUUGCUAAAGGACAGCAAGAGUGACCUUUAGUCCAGUUCCCAAUAAGUUCCUCAUCUCCAUCUGAGACCACCUCAGCCUGGACUUCAUUGUCCAUAUUACUAUUGGCAUUUUGGUUGCAACAAUUUAAUAAGUCUCUAGGAAGAUUCAAACUUUCCCAUAUCUUCCUGUCUUCUUCUGAGCCCUCCAAAUUGUUCCAACUUCUGCCCACUAUCCAGUUCCAAAGCUGCUUCCACAUUUUCAGGUAUCUUUAUAGCAAUGCCCCACUCCCAGUAUUAAUUUUCUGUAUUAGUCCAUUCUUUCACUGCUUUAAAUAAAUACCUGAAACUGGGUAAUUUAUUAGAAAAGAGGUUUAAUUGGCUCACGGUUCUGCAAGCUGUAACAGGAACUAUAAUUCCUGUAGUAUUGUAGGAAUUGUAGUAGGCUGGAGAGGCCUCAGGAAACUUUUAAUCAUGGUUGAAGGUGAAGGGGAAGCAGGCACAUCUUACAUGGCCAGAGAAGGAGAAAGAGAGAGAGAAGGGAGAGGUGCUACACACUUUUAAACAACCAGAUCUCAUAAGAACUCAUUCACUAUCAUGAGAAUAGCAAGUGGAGAGUCUGCCCCCAUGAUCCAGUCACUUCCCACCAGACCUCUUCUCCAACACUGGGUAUUAUAAUUCAACAUGAGAUUAGGGUGGGGACACAAAUCCAAAUCAUAUCACCAUAUAACAAAUAAUUAUUCUUGCUGUACUUUAUGCAAAUAAUUGGGCCAAGUAUAAUUGGACUGAUAUGGUUUGGCUGUACCCUCACCCAAAACUUCAUCUUGAAUUGUAGUUCCCAUAAUCCUCAUGUGUCAUGGGAGGGACCCAGUGGUAGGUAAUUGAAUCAUGGGGGUGGUUACCCUCACAGUCUUCUCAUGAUAGUGAGUUCUCAUGUGAUCUGAUGGUUCUAUAAGAGGCUUUUCCCCCUUUUGCUUAGCUGCCACCUUCUCCUUGCUGCCACCAUGUGAAUAAGGAUGUGUUUGCUUUCCCUUCCACCAUGAUUAUAGGUUUCCUGAGGCCUCCCCGCCAUGCUGAACUGUGAGUCUAUUAAACCUUUUUCCUUU
rnacentral:lncRNA from 10 species